rnacentral:rRNA from 1 species
GACAGAGGAUGCAAGCGUUAUCCGGAAUGAUUGGGCGUAAAGCGUCUGUAGGUGGCUUUUAAGUCCGCCGUCAAAUCCAGGGCUCAACCCUGGACAGGCGGUGGAAACUACCAAGCUGGAGUACGGUAGGGCAGAGGGAAUUUCCGGUGGAGCGGGUGAAAGUGCGUUAGAGAUACGGAAAGAACACCAACGGGCGAAAGCACUCUGCUGGGCCGACACUGACACUGAGAGACGAAAGCUAGGGGAGCGAAUGGG